UCCUGCGGGGUGUUCGCUGCCAUUUUCGCAUAAAAUCACAUUUACAUACACAGUGCCAUCUAGACGGCGGCGAGUGCGCGCAAAUAAAGCACAAAAAGAGGACGCACAAAUAAGUGAGACACAAAAAAUACAAAAUAAGAAAAUAACGCUGUGUGUACCGUGAUAAGGCCGAGGACGCCAUCUAAAGCGUUGAGAGCGAGACGUAUUGUGCGUCGUCUUGGCACUUUGGUUCAAGCACUCGGAACAUAACGCGCUUACAAAGCGAGCACAACACAAUUCUCCAGCUGGCGCAUUCUAAUUAAGUUAAUUGCGUAAAAAGCUAAAAAAACAGCAGUGGCCAAAGUGAAAGCGCACAAUUAAGUAACACAGUGCGAGCCUCGCCGCUACAUGCCCGGCCAGGCGCGAUAUGCCACGUGAAAGCCAGCGGUGGGAGGCGAUUGUCGGCGCGCCUAUGGGAUUCCUAAUUCAAGUAUAUAGUAUGUAACAUAUACUCGUAAAAGCAACGAAAUCAAACGAAGCUCGUGUCAUGCAAAUAUUCAAUUUCGUGCGCUUAUUUAUAUACAAUUACAUCAAGUCACCGUGGAACCGGGGUCAUCGCUUAUUUAGUCAUGCCUAAUAAUUAAUCGCCUCGUGAUGUAUUUCGUAUGCGAAGGUUCGACUUCGCUGAAGUUUCUGUAUAAAAUGACAAGAAAUUAUAUCCAAUGAAUCUGAAAAUGUGGAAAAGAAACAUUUUUUAAGAUGAGAGCUUUUAUUUAAUAUUAUUCUAAACAUUUUAUUAUAUUUAAUUUUUAUGGAUGCGAAGUAAUAAAAAACUU